CCCAAAGUGUGCUGCUCUCCCAUGGUGCCCAGCACCACAGCAAGCCACAGCUCACAGGCAGCCAAGCAAUGACCCGGGUAAACAACUGGCAUUCUACAGUGUACAGCGUUGCCAAGCAGCAUGUUGCCCCAAGGAUAAAUGAGUCAACCUCAAACUUACCACCAGAAGCCCCUGCUUGUAGAGUUUCUGAUGAAACUGAAGCAUUCAUUAGUCCUGCAAGAGUGUGCUUCACAUGAGGAGCUACAGCUGGGCUGGGCUUUGCAACCCUCGCUGAUAAUAGCACUGAGAUUCUGAUGGCUUUGACCUUCAGGAGAUGCAGCAACAGUCCUGGAAGGAAGCAGGCACCAGGCAUCCACUUUCACAAAAGAGGAAUAAGAAGGUCAGCCUGCGAGUCCCAACUUUUUGAGGUUCUCUCUGGGACAGACCCAAGUCCAGAGCAGGAAGUGGUGGCUGCAAAGCAAGAGACAGCACUUCUCUCCCAUGAUUAUUCUUCUCUUCCUGAUUGGUGUUGGGCUCAAUCACGUGACUGGCUUUGGCCAAUGGGAUUGCAGGAGUGCAGUUCUCUGCACCUUGUCAUUCAGCCAAUGGGAUGGCAGCAGACAUGAGACAAGAGGAGGCUUUCAGUCUGCCUAAGGGGCAAGGCUUGCCCUUUUGUGCCUUGAACAUUCUGAUGAGAAGAGCUUCUGCCAGGCAGCUGCGACCCUUUAGCCUGGCCUCACAUGGAGCACCUCGGGAGCACAGCUCACAUGCCAGGACCAGGAGCUUGAAGCAGAGCUGCCCAGCCAUGCCUAGCCUAGAAGGUCACCUGUCAGCUGAUCCACAGAUAAAUAAAUGAGCCCAGAUGAAAUCAGCAAAAUGUGCCCAGCUACUCCCAGACUCAUUAGAAAUAAAUGCUUCAUGUCUGAUGCCACUGUGAUUUUUGUAAUGUUUGUUAUGCAGCACUCUUGUGGGAAGAGCUGACUGAUACAAAGGCUUCAAUAAGAAACAUAUCAUACUCUGUGAUUCAGAUUUACAAAAUUAAUUAUAACAAAAUAUUUAGAAAAUACUUAAACACCUGCCAGAUACUAUUUUAAGUGCUCCAUAUAUACUUAGUCAUUUAAUCCUUAUGACAAGCCUAUACAGUACAUAUUAUUAAGGUGGAGAAACUGAGGCACAGAGAAGUUAAACAAUUUUCCCUAGGCUACAUAGUAAAUGAUUACACUACAGUGGUUCAAACAGGUCUGGGUUCAUAGUCCAUUGUUAACUACACCUUAAUAUGAUCUGUUCUAGUGAUGUUAAACCUUUCAGAGCUUUCAAUGAUACAAACAGCCCACUGCAGCAUGCAUGCCAUAGGUUCGCCACCACUGAUCUAAUGCACUCUGCUACUUUUAUAAACAUCUAGUGGUCAUACAACACUGUAUGCCUGGAUAUAUACCAUUUUUAUUUGUCAACUGUGCCUCAAUAAAGCUGAAC
ensembl:lncRNA